CUACCCUUGACAUGGCUGGAAUCCCCGAGAGAUUGGGGAGUGCUCGAAAGAGAGCCAGUACACAGGUGCUGCAUGGCUGUCGUCAGCUCGUGUCGUGAGAUGUUGGGUUAAGUCCCGCAACGAGCGCAACCCUUGUCAUUAGUUGCUACGAAAGGGCACUCUAAUGAGACUGCCGGUGACAAACCGGAGGAAGGUGGGGAUGACGUCAAGUCCUCAUGGCCCUUAUGGGUAGGGCUUCACACGUCAUACAAUGGUACAUACAUAGCGCCGCCAACCCGCGAGGGGGAGCUAAUCGCAGAAAGUGUAUCGUAGUCCGGAUUGUAGUCUGCAACUCGACUGCAUGAAGUUGGAAUCGCUAGUAAUCGCGGAUCAGCAUGUCGCGGUGAAUACGUUCCC
rnacentral:rRNA from 1 species